GUGUUAUGUGGUAGUGCUACAGCUGGCUGCUUCACCCGGAGACCAGCCGUUUGCCAAGUCCACUGUUGAGGCUUGAAGCCUCCCUUUCUACAACUUCUUUGCUGGAGACUGGGAAGCAGGUGUUUGUGCAAAAGCAAAGGGAGGACAACAUGAACAAAGAAAGCCCACACCUUGCCUGGGAGAAAAUGGUCAUUACACUCCAAGCCCCAAAGAUGAGGAAGCUGUGAUGAUCAUACUCACACUGAGAAACUCACUCGUCAGCAGGAAGAUAGAUUGCUGAGGGUGUUGGACUGAAGGCAGAGGGACCCGCUGGGAAGUCACUGCAAUUGUUGCCGUGAAAAAUGGCAAGAUGAAAGCAGGAAGCAGAAGGAAAUGAAUGCUGGGCUGUACCUAGCCUUCUUCUAUGCAGUCCUGGACUCAAGCCCAUGGAAAGGUGCUACACACACCUUAGGAGGUGUGGCCUUGUUGGGACAGGUAUGGCCUUGUUGGAGGAAGUAUGUCACUGUGGGGUGGGCUUUGAGACCCUCUUCCUAGCUGCCUGAAAGACAGGAGUCUUUCAGCUCCUGGCUUCUUUGGAUAAAGAUGAAGAACUCUCAGCUCCUUCUCCAGCACCAUGCCUGCCUGCACACUGCUUCCCACAUUGAUGAUAAUGGACUAAACCUUUGAACCUGUAAGCCAGU